UAGAGUCUCAAAUUAAAAAUU
rnacentral:piRNA from 1 species